AUGAAUGUGCUCAUGGAUGGGGGCAGCAAUAUCAAUAUCCUUUACUAUGAGACCUUAUGUCGUAUGAAUUUGACUGACAAAGACCUUAAGCCUUCUUCUACUGUUUUUCAUGGGGUGGUGCCCGGUAAGUCGGCGUAUCCAGUAAGAAAGAUAAUACUGGAGGUGGCUUUUGGAGAUGACCAUAAUUCCAGAGCUGAGAAGUUGACCUUUGAGGAGGUGAAGAUCAAGAGCCCGUAUCAUGCUUUGUUCGAGCGGCCGGCUUACACCAAGUUUAUGGCAUGGACAUGUUAUGUGUAUUUGCAGCUUAAGAUGCCGGGUCAUAAGGGCACUAUCACGGUGCAUGGUAAUAGAAGAAUUGCUCUGGAUUGUGAAGAGGGUGAUGCUGCUUAUGCUGAGUCGGCCUGCGCCACGGAGGAGUUGAAGUUCUAUAAGGACAAUGUUGACCCGGCUGAUAUGACCCCUUUGAAGAAGCCAACCACUGAGAAUGACCCCCUGUUGAAGUUUAAGUCGGUUGAUGACACUAAGCUGGUUGGUUUUGUGCCUGGUGACUUGUCCAAGCAGUUUAGCAUCAGUGCUAAUAUGGAUCCAAAAUAG
rnacentral:rRNA from 1 species